rnacentral:rRNA from 1 species
AGUGAACGCUGGCGGUAGGCCUAACACAUGCAAGUCGAACGGCAGCACAGUAAGAGCUUGCUCUUACGGGUGGCGAGUGGCGGACGGGUGAGGAAUACAUCGGAAUCUACUUUUUCGUGGGGGAUAACGUAGGGAAACUUACGCUAAUACCGCAUACGACCUACGGGUGAAAGCAGGGGAUCUUCGGACCUUGCGCGAUUGAAUGAGCCGAUGUCGGAUUAGCUCGUUGGCGGGGUAAAGGCCCACCAAGGCGACGAUCCGUAGCUGGUCUGAGAGGAUGAUCAGCCACACUGGAACUGAGACACGGUCCAGACUCCUACGGGAGGCAGCAGUGGGGAAUAUUGGACAAUGGGCGCAAGCCGGAUCCAGCCAUACCGCGUGGGGGAAGAAGGGCUUCGGGUUGUAAAGCCCUUUUGUUGGGAAAGAAAAGCAGCAGGUUAAUACCCCGCUGUUCUGACGGUACCCAAAGAAUAAGCACCGGCUAACUUCGUG